rnacentral:rRNA from 1 species
AACGAACGCUGGCGGCGUGCCUAACACAUGCAAGUCGAACGGGUGUAGCAAUACAUCAGUGGCGCACGGGUGAGUAAUGCAUGGGAAUCUGCCUUGUGGAGGGGGAUAACUACGGGAAACUGUAGCUAAGACCGCGUAAGCAGUAGCGAUACUGGAAAGUGAGGGGAUCGCAAGACCUUCAGCCAUAAGAUGAGCCCAUGUUCCAUUAGCUAGUUGGCGGGGUAACAGCCCACCAAGGCGAAGAUGGAUAGCUGGUCUGAGAGGACGAUCAGCCACACUGGGACUGAGACACGGCCCAGACUCCUACGGGAGGCAGCAGUGGGGAAUAUUGCGCAAUGGGCGAAAGCCUGACGCAGCAACGCCGCGUGAGUGAAGAAGGCC